rnacentral:rRNA from 1 species
UGCCAGCCGCCGCGGUAAUACGGAGGGUGCAAGCGUUGUUCGGAAUUAUUGGGCGUAAAGCGCGUGUAGGCGGUUCGUUAAGUCUGAUGUGAAAGCCCGGGGCUCAACCUGGGAAUUGCAUUCGAUACUGCGUGGCUAGAGUCUGAUAGAGGGAAGUGGAAUUCCAGGUGUAGCGGUGAAAUGCGUAGAUAUCUGGAGGAACAUCAGUGGCGAAGGCGGCUUCCUGGGCCAAUACUGACGCUGAGGUGCGAAAGCGUGGGGAGCAAACAGGAUUAGAUA